rnacentral:lncRNA from 10 species
AGUGAACGUAAGCUCCACAAGGACAGGGAUGUUUUACUGCUAGAUGCCCAGCAACCAGACUAUGUCUGGCACAUAGGUCUCAGCCUUGCUGGCCUUCCGCUCCCCCGUCCAGGAAGGCCACCCCACAGCCUUUAGGCCCAAAGAGGAGCAGAGCGUCAAGGCACUCACAUCGCUUUCUGUGCGUACAUUAAACUGAGCCCAGAAACACAGAGCUCUUAAAUUGCAAAGGGCAAUAAGUUUGAAGAACAAAAACAUUUCCUUGGACCUUUUAUAUUUUUCUAAAUUGAUCUUGAUUUUUCACUUCAUUGUGGUGUUGGGGGAUUUUCUUUCUUUCUUCAUAAUGGUUUUAUUUCCCAUAAUCUUAAGAAUGAAAGGCAUCUCUAGUGCUUGUGUAUUUAUUUCUGAUUCCUAUAAACUUCUCUCGCUCCUGACUUAACUCACCUUGAGCCACAAGCCCAGAACACCAACGAUCAACUAAAACAGGGGAAGCAGCAGCAGUGGCUGGCGUGCACCCAAACCAGGAAACAGGCUAUAGAAGAGCAUCUUCUUUCAGGCUUCAGGCUGUUUGUAUUCCUUCAGGAAGCUUCAAUCAAUCAAUCACUCCCUCUUUUCCUAAGAGAAAGGGACUCCAGCCUUUUCUUAUUAACUCAUUCCUCAUUACGACGAUGGCGUUUCUCUUCACCAACAAAAUUGCUCAAGCUGCAUCUCCAGCCUGUUUCCUUGACAUUGUUUUCUGUCUCCCAGGUGAGCCUUUCUUCGGUAGAUUUGGAUUGUUUUCCCUUUGUUUUUUCUAUUUUUCAUCAUUAUAAUCCUUUCUUCACACUAGUUUUUGGGUAACCCCUCCAUUUUCCCUCUCUUUUCUAAUUCUCUUCACUUCAUAGUCAGAGCACCAAAUGUGAAUAAAUAUGUUAAUGUCAUUAAAUAGUUUUAACAUACUAAAUACUUAUUUAAUACAUUAAAAAUAUGUGUGUAUUAAAUAAAUAGUUUACAUUAAUAAUCUUUAAGUCACAUGUGUUGUAAUUAACAGCUCAUGUCUACUGAGCAUUUACCAUAUGCCAGUUUGGUGCCAAACACCUACAAUGCAUUUUUCUGCUGAGUACUCCAAGCUACCGUGUAAGCUUGUUGGGGAGGAUGUGAGGGGGAAGUAAGGCACUUGGCACAAAAUUUAAGGAGAUAUUCAUUUUCAGAGUCACACAAGUGCAGCAUCAGCACCUGAGAGUAUCAGACCCUGGUCCCAGCCCUGGUCCUUACUAUUAUCUCCAUCUCCAUUUUAACAUAUAAGGAAAUUAGGCUGACAGAAGUUGGCUCUCUAGCGCAAGGUAACGGAGCUAGAGGAUAAACAAGAUGAAGAUAGGACUAGUUGACUUCAGAGCCCAAGCUGUAAGAAUUAUAAUAGCUACACACCCAGAAUAUCCAAAUAGUUUUUUUUUUUAAAGGUGCCUUUCUUAAAUAUGAAGAGAAUGAAGGACAGCCAAGCAUCUUCAGACGUAUGUUAGGCUCAAGGAACACCUCUAACACAAAUGCCAGGGAUCCAACUAACCAAACAGAAAAAGAAACCCGGAAAACCCUAAAGCUGAAAUAAUGCAGGAAGCGGAAGAAAGCUCCAAAUAAACUAAAAUCAAUAUCCUUAAGGAACUGGAAGAUAUUUCAUACAUGAAACAAGAACAGGAUAAAAACAGGAGCAUUUAUAGAAUAAGAAAAUGCUUGUAUAAAUUAAGGAGUUCAUAAAAGGAAUGAAUGCUUCAGUAGAAGAGUUGAAUAGCAGUGUUGAAAAAAUAGCAUAAAAAGAUAAAUGAGCAAUAGGAAAGAAAAGAUAAAACAAAAACAAAAAAACCCCAAAAACCAUAACAGAGAAUCAACUAAAGAAGUCCAGCCUCAAACUAAUAGGAGUUUCAGAAAGAAAGGAGAGCAAAAAUGGAGAGUAGAAAACUACUAAAGAAAUAUCAUAAAAUUUGCAUGAAGUGCCUGGAACAUUGGAUAAAACAUAGAUAAAUCAAUGUACAUUUUUAAAACACCAGGGAUAAAGAGGUGAUUGUAAAACUUCCAGAAGAAAACAUGUAGGAUCAGGAAUCAAAAUGGCAUUCAGAUGUCUCAGCAACACCAUUGGAAACUAGAAGACAACAGAGCAAUGCUUUCAGGAUUCAGAAGGAAAAUGACUUUUGCAUCAUCAAUUAAAUGUGACGAUGAAUUCAAGAGUUUUUC